rnacentral:lncRNA from 1 species
UAAGCUCUUUAUAUUCAACAAUCAGGCUUAAAAGAUGGAAUAGGGACUAAAGAGUUUGUUCAGGGAUCCAAGACGGGCUGUGGAGCCUACAUGAUAGAGCAUCAGGAUCCAGUGCAAUUUCAAUAUCAGAGUACAGGCGCUAGUUCUGGCUCUGGCACUGGUACAAAUGGAACCAAAGAUGUAAAUAUCACUACAUUUCUGAUGCUGAUGGAGGGGCUCCGACCCUCAAAUUCACGCUUUAGUCAAGAGAACUCCACUUCUGACUCCGGCACUGGUACAAAUGGGACUAAGGAUGUAAAUAUCACUACUUUUCUGAUGCUGAUGGAGGGGCUCCGACCCUCAAAUUCAUGCUUUAGUCAAGAGAACUCCACUGCUCGACAAGUCUUGCCUUAUUGUGCACCCAAUCGAGGGUAUCCUCCUCAUUGGACGCCCUGUCAGAGUCCGGACCUACUCCCCCUCUUGGCAAGUACCAGUAUAACCUAACUCAGGGAGGUUCCCAAAGAACAGGCAGUAAAAAUACCUGGCCAUGGUUUCAAUGGGUACUCUCCAACGAGCGUGGAGCGUUUACUUCUCUUGAAUCUUUUGCGGUUCUCCAGAAUCUUUGCAUAAGACUUCUUAAUAUUUCUGGUACAAGGGAUGAGAAGGGACCUUCUCUUAAGAAUCUAUCAAUACAUAAAGCUUUGAAUAAUCUCACUGUUCCAGCUAGCCCAGUAUGCUUAAAAGCUCCUUUUUUCUUUCUGCUCUCUAAUGCUACUGAUGCUACCAAAGAAGUGAUCUCGUGCAAUUCGACUGAUGUCUCCUGCAUUGCUAGCCAAUGUUGGAAUGG